GGAGUCAUUAUAUAUUCUUGGUGUUGGUGCGGUUCAACCUCACCAUUGUGCCGAUUAAUAACCGGAGCUUGAUGGUUUGAUUGAGCCGUGCCAAUAUCAGGAGUAAGGUGUCUUC
rnacentral:pre_miRNA from 1 species